rnacentral:rRNA from 1 species
UACGUAGGGUGCAAGCGUUGUCCGGAAUUAUUGGGCGUAAGAGCUCGUAGGCGGUUUGUCGCGUCUGCUGUGAAAACCCGAGCUCAACCUCGGGCCUGCAGUGGGUACGGGCAGACUAGAGUGCGGUAGGGGAGAUUGGAAUUCCUGGUGUAGCGGUGGAAUGCGCAGAUAUCAGGAGGAACACCAAUGGCGAAGGCAGAUCUCUGGGCCGUAACUGACGCUGAGGAGCGAAAGCAUGGGGAGCGAACAGG